rnacentral:misc_RNA from 1 species
AAGUCGUAACAAGGUUUCCGUAGGUGAACCUGCGGAAGGAUCAUUUCUAAACACUCAGCGCUGUCGAGGGUGCCGGCGUGCCGGUGCUGUCGACCGCGCUGUAAAAACACCAAACCUUUUGUGAAUUCAUCUUCAAAAAAACACCAUUCUCAUUGUAUGAUCAUUUUAAACAAAAAAUUUAAAACAACUUUUAACAACGGAUCUCUUGGCUCUC